GAUGAACGCUGGCGGCGUGCCUAAUACAUGCAAGUCGAGCGAACGGACGAGACACUUGCUUCUCUGAUGUUAGCGGCGGACGGGUGAGUAACACGUGGAUAACCUACCUAUAAGACUGGGAUAACUUCGGGAAACCGGAGCUAAUACCGGAUAAUAUUUUGAACCGCAUGGUUCAAAAGUGAAAGACGGUCUUGCUGUCACUUAUAGAUGGAUCCGCGCUGCAUUAGCUAGUUGGUAAGGUAACGGCUUACCAAGGCAACGAUGCAUAGCCGACCUGAGAGGGUGAUCGGCCACACUGGAACGGAGACACGGUCCAGACUCCUACGGGAGGCAGCAGUAGGGAAUCUUCCGCAAUGGGCGAAAGCCUGACGGAGCAACGCCGCGUGAGUGAUGAAGGUCUUCGGAUCGUAAAACUCUGUUAUUAGGGAAGAACAUAUGUGUAAGUAACUGUGCACAUCUUGACGGUACCUAAUCAGAAAGCCACGGCUAACUACGUG
rnacentral:rRNA from 1 species